CUCGCCGUAGCUCAGUUGGUAGUAGCGCAAGGCUGUAAGUGUUGAUUGCGGAAACCUUGAGGUCCCUGGUUCGAUCCCAGGCGGCGAGA